CCUACGGAAGGCAGCAGUGGGGGAUAUUGCACAAUGGGGGAAAGCCUGAAGCAGCGAAGCCGCGUGGGGGAAGAAGGGCCUGGGCGCGGAAAGCCUCGUUAGCAGGGAAGAAAAUGACGGUACCUGUAGAAGAAGCAGCGGCUAACGACGUGCCAGCAGCCGCGGCAAUACGCAGGGGGCAAGCGUUAUCCGGAUUUACUGGGUGUAAAGGGGGCGCAGACGGCGAUGCAAGCCAGGAGUGAAAGCCCGGGGCCCCACCCCGCGACCGCUCUUGAAACUGCGUGGCUGGAGUGCAGGAGGGGCAGGCGGAAUUCCUGGUGUAGCGGUGAAAUGCAUAGAUAUCAGGAAGAACACCGGUGGCGAAGGCGGCCUGCUGGACUGCAACUGACGUUGAGGCCCGAAAGCGUGGGGAGCGAACAGGAUUAGAUACCCCAGUAGUC
rnacentral:rRNA from 1 species